AUUGAACGCUGGCGGCAGGCCUAACACAUGCAAGUCGAACGCGGCGCGGACGUGUGUGUAAUGUAGGGGAAACCGCCUGAGGGCGGGGGAUAACUAGUGAACACUGGCGCUAACACCGCAAACCAUGACAUGUGCCCAUAGGGUAUGAUCGAGUAGGUGGGGUAAAGGCUCACAUAGGCGACGAUCCCUAGCUGCUCUGAGAGGUGGACCAGCCACACUGGAACUGAGCCACGGUCCAGACUCCUACGGGAGGCAGCAGUGGGGAAUAUUGCACAAUGGGCGCAAGCCUGAUGCAGCCAUGCCGCGUGUAUGAAGAAGGCCUUCGGGUUGUAAAGUCCUUUCAGCGGGGAGGCGUUACCAGCAGAAGAAGCACCGGCGAACUCCGUGCCAGCCGCCGCGGUAAUAC
rnacentral:rRNA from 1 species